rnacentral:rRNA from 1 species
UUCCGGUUGAUCCUGCCGGACCCGACUGCUAUCAGAGUGAGAUUAAGCCAUGCGAGUUAACGUAGCAAUACGUGGCGCACGGCUCAGUAACACGUAGUCAACAUGCCCAGAGGACGUGGAUAACCUCGGGAAACUGAGUCUAAACCGCGAUAAGUGAGGAUUUCUGGAAUGGUUCCUGACUAAAAUCUAUAUGGCCUCUGGAUUGGACUGCGACCGAUCAGGCUGUUGGUGAGGUAAUGGCCCACCAAACCUGUAACCGGUACGGGCUCUGAAAGGAGGAGCCCGGAGAUGGGUACUGAGACAAGGGCCCAGGCCCUAUGGGGCGCAGCAGGCGCGAAACCUCUGCAAUAGGCGAAAGCCUGACAGGGUUAUUCUGAGUGACUUUCGCUAAGAAAGUCUUUUGACACCUUUAAAAAUGGUGCAGAAUAAGGGGUGGGCAAGUCUGGUGUCAGCCGCCGCGGUAAUACCAGCACCCCGAGUGGUCGGGACGUUUAUUGGGCCUAAAGCAUCCGUAGCCGGUUCUGCAAGUCUUCCGUUAAAUCCACCUGCUUAACAGAUGGGCUGCGGAAGAUACUAUAGAGCUAGGAGGCGGGAGAGGCAAGCGGUACUCAGUGGGUAGGGGUAAAAUCCGUUGAUCCAUUGAAGACCACCAGUGGCGAAGGCGGCUUGCCAGAAUGCGCUCGACGGUGAGGGAUGAAAGCUGGGGGAGCAAACCGGAUUAGAUACCCGGGUAGUCCCAG